rnacentral:rRNA from 1 species
UACGGGAGGCAGCAGUGGGGAAUAUUGCACAAUGGGCGAAAGCCUGAUGCAGCUAUGCCGCGUGUAUGAAGAAGGCCUUAGGGUUGUAAAGUACUUUCAUCGGGGAGGAAAAAACAAAACUAAUAAUUUUAUUUCUUGACGUUACCCGAAAAAGAAGCACCGGCUAACUCCGUGCCAGCAGCCGCGGUAAUACGGAGGGUGCUAGCGUUAAUCAGAAUUACUGGGCGUAAAGAGCACGUAGGUGGUUUUUUUAAGUCAGAUGUGAAAUCCCUGGGCUUUAACCUGGAACUGCAUUUUGAAACUGAAAUACUAGAGUAUCGUAGAGGGAGGUAGAAUUCUAGGUGUAGCGGUGAAAUGCGUAGAUAUCUGGAGGGAUACCUGUGGCGAAAGCGGCCUCCUAAACGAAUACUGACACUGAGGUGCGAAAGCGUGGGGAGCGAAACAGGGAUUAGAUACCCGU